AGGACGAACGCUGGCGGCGCGCCUAACACAUGCAAGUCGAACGAGAGAGAAGGAGCUUGCUUCUUCGAUCGAGUGGCGAACGGGUGAGUAACGCGUGAGGAACCUGCCUCAAAGAGGGUGACGACAGUUGGAAACGACUGCUAAUACCGCAUAAGCCCACGGGUCGGCAUCGACCUGAGGGAAAAGGAGUAAUCCGCUUUGAGAUGGCCUCGCGUCCGAUUAGCUAGUUGGUGAGGUAACGGCCCACCAAGGCAACGAUCGGUAGCCGGACUGAGAGGUUGAACGGCCACAUUGGGACUGAGACACGGCCCAGACUCCUACGGGAGGCAGCAGUGGGGAAUAUUGCACAAUGGGGGAAACCCUGAUGCAGCGACGCCGCGUGGAGGAAGAAGGUCUUCGGAUUGUAAACUCCUGUUGUUGAGGAAGAUAAUGACGGUACUCAACAAGGAAGUGACGGCUAACUACGUGCCAGCAGCCGCGGUAAAACGUAGGUCACAAGCGUUGUCCGGAAUUACUGGGUGUAAAGGGAGCGCAGGCGGGAAGACAAGUUGGAAGUGAAAUCUAUGGGCUUAACCCAUAAACUGCUUUCAAAACUGUUUUUCUUGAGUAGUGCAGAGGUAGGCGGAAUUCCCGGUGUAACGGUGGAAUGCGUAGAUAUCGGGAGGAACACCAGUGGCGAAAGCGGCCUACUGGGCACCAACUGACGCUUGAGGCUCGAAAGUGUGGGUAGCAAACAGGUUUUGUUACCGUGGUAGUCCACACCGUAAACGUUGAUUACUUGGUGUUGGAGGAUUGACCCCUUCAGUGCCGCAGUUAACACAAUAAGUAAUCCACCUGGGGGGUACGACCGCAAGGUUGAAACUCAAAGGAAUUGACGGGGGCCCGCACAAGCAGUGGAGUAUGUGGUUUAAUUCGACGCAACGCGAAGAACCUUACCAAGUCUUGACAUCCCUUGACGAACAUAGAAAUAUGUUUUCUCUUCGGAGCAAGGAGACAGGUGGUGCAUGGUUGUCGUCAGCUCGUGUCGUGAGAUGUUGGGUUAAGUCCCGCAACGAGCGCAACCCUUAUGGUCAGUUACUACGCAAGAGGACUCUGGCCAGACUGCCGUUGACAAAUCGGAGGAAGGUGGGGAUGACGUCAAAUCAUCAUGCCCUUUAUGACUUGGGCUACACACGUACUACAAUGGCGUUAAACAAAGAGAAGCAAGACCGCGAGGUGGAGCAAAACUCAGAAACAACGUCCCAGUUCGGACUGCAGGCUGCAACUCGCCUGCACGAAGUCGGAAUUGCUAGUAAU
rnacentral:rRNA from 1 species